UACGUAGGGGGCAAGCGUUGUCCGGAUUUAUUGGGCGUAAAGAGCGUGUAGGCGGCCAGGUAGGUGGGUUGUGAAAACUGGAGGCUCAACCUUCAGACGUCGACCCAAACCCCCUGGCUAGAGUCCGGAAGAGGAGAGUGGAAUUCCUGGUGUAGCGGUGAAAUGCGCAGAUAUCAGGAAGAACACCCGUGGCGAAGGCGGCUCUCUGGGACGGUACUGACGCUGAGACGCGAAAGCGUGGGGAGCGAACAGGAUUAGAUACCCUGGUAGUCCACGCCGUAAACGAUGGGUGCUAGGUGUGGGGGGUGUCAACUCCCUCCGUGCCGAAGCUAACGCAUUAAGCACCCCGCCUGGGGAGUACGGCCGCAAGGCUA
rnacentral:rRNA from 1 species